GCAGAUUCACUCUGCACCUGGCUGCAGCUCCAGUCUGGUGCUUUUUCUGUCUGCCAAAUAAACAUUCCAGGGUGCUGUGGCUGCCUCUGUCUAGCUGGGGCUCAUGCAGCUGCCUGGGGACAUGGUA
rnacentral:snoRNA from 1 species